UACCCUUUGCUUUUCUCUGUCGAAGAUAAACAAAUGUUUAACAGACACCAGCUGCCUUUAUCCUUCUGAUGGUUCUUUGUGGCCUGCAGGGGCUAUUGAGUCACCUCCCUGCCUGAUAUUGAUCAGCCAUGAAGUUACCCCGGCAUACUGAUCCUCUUACCUAUUGCCGUUCAUCUAGUAUUAUUUUAGGAUCAUGAAAAUUACUCACAAUGGAGUAAUCAGCAAAUUACUUGCUGAUUUUCUUAGUUAAGUACAUUUUUUUUUUUUUUUUUUUUUUGAUUCACAGAAAAAUCUGUCCAGGUCUUCCCACCCAGACAUAAAUUGGUGUUACAUUCCCUGCUCACCUGUGUGCUAUUAUCAGGGUGCAACAACCAAAUCUGCCUGCGUCUGCCUGAGAACAUCUUUUCAGACCUCACAGCACAGCUUUUACUGAAUGGAGACUCAGUGAGCUCCGGUUUCAUUUGAAAGGAACCCUGGUUACGCUAUUUCGAGUCACCACAAUACAGUUGUAAUUUGCGCUUUGGCCUUCUUGGCAUGCUUUUACAUUCUCCUAUUCAUAAAACAGUGAUAAUCUCCAGGGCAACCAUCGAACACACCCCUUCUUUAGAGAAAGAAGAUCAACAGGAUAUAGUCGUGAGCUGUAGGAUGUGCUCAUGUUUUGAAAACUCAGAGACCAUUUCCAAUGGAAUUUAUGUUAGCUGAUUGUUUGGAAUGGAAAACACAAGAAUUGUGUCAUAGUGACCCAAAAUGUCAUUCUGCGUUUGCUCGUCUCGGGGCACAAGGAGAAACUGUCCUUGGAGCAAGAUCAAGCUUGAGGUUCUGACUCAGAAACCUGAGAAUCACAUCGUUUUCCUGGGGCCAUUGCCUUUUCCUGUCCUUGCAAGGAAAUUCCACAGUCAUGCAGCCACAGAAGAAUGCCGGACCGGGCCCUUAUCUAGUGUGCCUCUAUGGUUUUUUUUUGUAUUGAAGUCCUCUAAAAAGGUUGGCCCUUGAUAACAGGUAUUGUCUUUCAUCUGGAUGGAGAAGAAACAGGAAAAUGAUACAAGGUUUGAGAGCGGGCUCGGGAACCAGAGGAUGUGGGUUCGAGUCCGGCGCUGACCCUCGUGAGCUGUAUGACUUUGGGCCACUUACCAAACCUUCGGUGCUUUGCAGCAUGAGGAUAAGAGCAGAUCCUCCUCCCUGGGCUACUGGACAGACACACGGACUGUGAACACACCGCACUGCCCAAUCAGGGCCCGACACGUGCCUGUUUUUUUGUUAUUGUCACUGUGCUCACUGUUACACUCUAUUCUCUUUUUUUUUGUCUUUUUCCUUUUUAUCGGUACCGGGCAUUGAACUCACGACCGCCUGCUUGCAAGGCAGGUGCUUAUGCCGUUGAGCUAAAUCCCCAGCCCCUUACACUCUAUUCUUUAAGAGAUUUUUGAAUGUGUUUCAUUGUAAGGUUUCCAAAUUCUGGAUUGCUUGCUGUUAUAUCUGAUUUAAUUUGUCCAGGAGUUGUUUCAUUAAAACCAAAAUGCACGAA